CAGGGUAUGCUCAAAAUGACAGCGCUGAAGCGGCAAAGACUUUUCACUGUGCAUGAAGCUGUAUCUAUGUUGGAUGGUGAUGAAAGCGAUGAUGAUGUCGAGGUGAGUGAAGAUGAGGCCGUUCUUGAAGAAGUUUCAUGGCAUGUUGGAGGCUUAAUGCAAACACUCAAGUGACCGUGUGACAUUUGUCCUACAUAUCGUAUAGGCAUUCCCUACCUUUCCUGUGGAGCUGCAGGGACCCCAGCAGACAGACAGACUUGAGCAUCUCCGUGAUGUACAUCUCCAGACAGCAUUGCAGCUGGAUGAAGAGCCUGCAGAUCUCUGGGUGGAUCUCUCCGUCCUCAGGCCUGUGGGACCAACACACAAAUGGCAAUCAAUAUCGAGAUUACCCAUGAGAUAAGAUGUUUACAAAUGAAUAAAAACAUGAAAAAAUGAAAUGUCUUAAGUCAAUAAGUAUUCAACCCUUUUGUUAUGGCAAGUCUACAUAGGAGUAAAAAUUUGCUUAACAAGUUGCAU